rnacentral:rRNA from 1 species
GGCUUCCAUGCAGUCGUAACAAGGUAGCCGUAAAAGUGAUAGUGAGAGCCCCGAGAGGCGCGUAAGAAACCUGGCUAUCCUUGGUGGAUCGAUAAAGAGAUUCUGGCUAAUACCACCUACGUACGAAAGUAGAAAGGAUGCUUCGGCAUUCAUCGAUAGAUGGGCCUGCCUAUCAUUAGCUUGAUGGUGGGGUAAUGGCCUACCAUGGCAACGAUGCAUAACUGGUCUGAGAGGAUGAUCCUUCACACUGGAACUGAAACACGGUCCAGACUCCUACUGGAGGCAGCAGUGGGGAAUAUUGCGCAAUGGACGAAAGUCUGACGCAGCAACGCCGCGUGAGUGAGGAAGGCCUUCCGGUUGUAAAGCUCUGUCAGAUGGGAAGAAAACUACUGGUCUAAUAUGCCAUGUACUUGACGGUACCAUCAAAGGAAGUUCCGGCUAACUUCGUGCCAGCAGCCGCGGUAAUACGAAGGGUGCAAGCGUUACUCGGAUUUACUGGGCGUAAAGCACGCGCAGGCGGACAAUUAAGCCAGAUGUGAAAUCCCAGGGCUCAAACCCUGGAACUGCGUCUGGAACUGGUCGUCUAGAAUAUUGGAGAGGGAAUGGGAAUUUCUCAUGUAGGGGUAAAAUCCGUAGAGAUGAGAAGGAACACCAGAGGCGAAGGCGCAUUCCUGGCCAAUUAUUGACGCUGAGGCGCGAAAGCGUGGGGAUCAAACAGGAUUAGAUUCCCUGGUAGUCCACGCUGUAAACGAUGUGCACUAGAUGUGGGGAUGUGUCCAUUUCCGCGUCAAAGCUAACGCAUUAAGUGCACCGCCUGGGGAGUACGGUUGCAAGACUAAAACUCAAAGGAAUUGACGGGGGCCCGCACAAGCGGUGGAUUAUGUGGUUUAAUUUGAAGCAACGCGCAGAACCUUACCUAGGUUUGAAGUUCCACGAACCCGGGCCAAAAGCUGGGGGGCUCUUCGGAGAAUGUGGUGCUAGGCGCUCCAUGGCUGUCGUCAGCUCGUGUCGUGAGAUGUUGGGUUAAGUCUGGCAACGAGCGCAACCCCUAUCCUUAGUUGCCAGCAUUAAGUUGGGCACUCUAGGGAGACUGCCUGGGUUAACCAGGAGGAAGGUGGGGAUGACGUCAAGUCCUCAUGGCCCUUAUGUCUAGGGCUACACACGUAAUACAAUGGAACAUACAAAGGGAAGCGAACUCGCGAGGGGGAGCAAAUCUCAAAAAGUGUGUAUCAGUCCGGAUUGGAGUUUGCAACUCGCAUCCAUGAAGUUAGAAUCGGUAGUAAUCGCGGAUCAGCACGCCGCGGUGAACACGUUCCCGGGCCUUGGACACUCCUCCUGUCACACCAGGGAGGAUUAGUACAAAAGCU